rnacentral:rRNA from 2 species
GCCUAUACAUGCAAGUCGAGCGAACAGAAGGGAGCUUGCUCCCGGAUGUUAGCGGCGGACGGGUGAGUAACACGUGGGUAACCUGCCUGUAAGACUGGGAUAACUCCGGGAAACCGGAGCUAAUACCGGAUAGUUCCUUGAACCGCAUGGUUCAAGGAUGAAAGACGGUUUCGGCUGUCACUUACAGAUGGACCCGCGGCGCAUUAGCUAGUUGGUGGGGUAAUGGCUCACCAAGGCGACGAUGCGUAGCCGACCUGAGAGGGUGAUCGGCCACACUGGGACUGAGACACGGCCCAGACUCCUACGGGAGGCAGCAGUAGGGAAUCUUCCGCAAUGGACGAAAGUCUGACGGAGCAACGCCGCGUGAGUGAUGAAGGUUUUCGGAUCGUAAAGCUCUGUUGUUAGGGAAGAACAAGUGCGAGAGUAACUGCUCGCACCUUGACGGUACCUAACCAGAAAGCCACGGCUAACUACGUGCCAGCAGCCGCGGUAAUACGUAGGUGGCAAGCGUUGUCCGGAAUUAUUGGGCGUAAAGGGCUCGCAGGCGGUUUCUUAAGUCUGAUGUGAAAGCCCCCGGCUCAACCGGGGAGGGUCAUUGGAAACUGGGAAACUUGAGUGCACAAGAGGAGAGUGGAAUUCCACGUGUAUCGGUGAAAUGUGUAUAGAUGUGGAGGAACACNNGUGGUGAANNCGACUCUCUCGNUUGUAAUUGACGCUU